UACGUAGGGACCAAGCGUUGUUCGGAUUUACUGGGCGUAAAGGGCGCGUAGGCGGCGUGGUAAGUCACUUGUGAAAUCUCUGAGCUUAACUCAGAACGGUCAAGUGAUACUGCUGUGCUAGAGUGCGGAAGGGGCAAUCGGAAUUCUUGGUGUAGCGGUGAAAUGCGUAGAUAUCAAGAGGAACACCGGUGGCGAAGGCGGGUCUCUGGGCCGUAACUGACGCUGAGGAGCGAAAGCGUGGGGAGCGAACAGG
rnacentral:rRNA from 1 species